rnacentral:rRNA from 1 species
AUGCUGACCAUUGCCAAAGCUCGGACUCUGUCUACAGCCACCUCGGGAAGAGUAGGUGAGGCCGUCUCCACCGUAGCAACUGGCUCGGUUUGGGCCACAGCAGCUGCAACAGAGCAGGCGGUGGUGAAGGUCGCGGUGGAGGUGGGCGCCGACCCCCUCCUCUCCCACCUCAGAAACCACGGUGACUUCCCCGGUUAUACCGGUUAUUGGGGCCUGCAACCCCCUCAACGAAGUUGCCCGGAGGUCCUUGAAAACCGUGACCUGGGCCUCCGCCGUUGUACCAAGCGUAUCCGACGCCACCUCCAGUAG